UAUUCCAAAGCAAUACUACCCGAUGUUUUCUAAAUUGUUUUAAGUCACUUGGCCCAUUGCUUGCUGUUGAAUUUCUCCAGGCAAGCCAGCCUUGCUGUCCUUAGCAAUGAGGAACUAAACGGAGAGAUUAGAAACCUUAAACAGCAAAAUAGAAGUAUCCUUACUGUGCUCCUUUUGGUUAGCAAGAAAGCUAUGCGGCAUCUAGAACAGAGGUGGGCAACAAGGGCUGUAUCCGUUUCUGGUUCUCAUUCCAACUUCCGGCCUUAAUUACUCAUUUAGCCCUAACUUUUACGUCAUCUGAGUCUUGAUAAGCGCAGGAACGACAGACGAAGACUGUUUUCAAAAGCUUUGCUCUUACAGGGAGGAACUGUUCUGGCUAAAAAGUGAAUGCCCUGCACUACCGCUGACCCACUUUGCACAUGUUUGCUGUCACCCGUUUCAAUCCCAUCCCCACUCACCUCAUUUCAGCAAAGGAAAAUUCAUAGCCAAACACAUGGGAACGCUUUGCACCCUGACCUGGGCCUAACGCAUAACCAAGUCAACAUGAGGACGCAUCCAAAACCACCUAACGGUGAUGCACGGGAAGCGCCAUUUAACAACGGUCCGUCAUCUCUUCCACCUUUUGCUGCACACACAUCCCCAACAUACAGCAGGGAGGACCAUGGAUCCAAACAUGGACACCACCCAUCUUCCCUCAAUCAAGGGUGAACAUGGAACUACCUCUUUGAUAUGAUACUUACAGAGGAUCCUGGAAAGGAAUAUGAGUGUCAGCUGCUAUCAGAGGCAGAAUUUGCCAUGGACAGAGGAAUCGAGUCUUACCAUUAAAAGCUUAUUAUAAA